ACGAACGCUGGCGGCGUGCCUAACACAUGCAAGUCGAACGAAGUAUGUUUUUCGGAAUGUAUUUAGUGGCGGACGGGUGAGUAACGCGUGAAUAAUCUGCCCUGUACAAAGGAAUAGCCUCGGGAAACUGGGAUUAAAACCGUAUAACACUUUUGAGCCGCAUGGCUUAGAAGUCAAAUUGAUUAAGAGGUAUGGGAUGAGUUCGCGUCUGAUUAGCUAGUUGGUAAGGUAAAGGCUUACCAAGGCGACGAUCAGUAGCCGGCCUGAGAGGGUGAUCGGCCACACUGGAACUGAGACACGGUCCAGACUCCUACGGGAGGCAGCAGUGGGGAAUAUUGCACAAUGGAGGAAACUCUGAUGCAGCGACGCCGCGUGAGUGAAGAAGGUCUUCGGAUCGUAAAACUCUGUCCUUGGUGAAGAAAGAAAUGACGGUAGCCAAGGAGGAAGCCCCGGCUAACUACGU
rnacentral:rRNA from 1 species